UGCCUCGUCCGCGGCUCCAAGUGUGGCACUUGGAGCCUGCAGAUCCGGACCCUUCGCUCGCGCUUUGGGCUGCGGUCGGUUCUGAAGCAGCCAAUCCUGGAUUCAAAACAAUGGGGCAUGUCUGCAAAAACUGAGAAUUUUGCAAUCAGGGAGAUGUUUUGAAAUGUUCCCGGUGGGGAAGAUUUGAAGGAAAAGUUUGCUUUCCAGGAGAAUUCAUGCUAGCGAAGCUCGACUGGCUGUUCAAGGAAAAACCCAGAAGAUCCCAUCUCUCAUCCGUCUGUUUUUAAAUAAAUGAAAUGAAACCCAAAAUACACCAAUCAAUGAAGAAGCCACAAAAGAAAAUUCAAGAGCCCUCUUUUCCUCCCCACUCUGAAGACCAGAGGAAAACAAGUGUGAAAAGAAAAUCUAUGCAGUAUUGUUCCACUUCAGAAUGGAUGAGAACAGAAUGGAAGAAGGAGCAGAGGAAGAAUUUUUUUAAAGACUCACCCCUUCCACUCCAAAUUAACUGGGAAUUCAGGAAAAGACAACAUUUUUUUGUUGUCUUUGAGUUGAACUAUAUUUUUUUCACUCCUUUUUUUCAUUCCAGAAAAUGAAUCCUGGACUCUGUGUCUCUCUUACCCUUAGUAAGAGUGGUAAAAAGCUGUUGUAGCCUUGUCAGGUCUUUUCAAUGAGAACGGCUAAGAAACUCCACUCAAAAUGUGUCUGGGGGUAGUUCACACCUGUGUUUUGUGCAGUGUAUCUUGAAUGCACACAUUAUACACUCACACAGAUUUAUAAAUGGAAUAUACUGCUUGGAUGCUUUCUUAUAUUGUCAUAAAUCAUUUACUUUCAUCAUUCCCAUAACAACCAGAACCAUAUAAUCAGAUGCCCAGGAAAUUAAUCCUUCUGUUAGGGGAAAUAUAGCCACUUCAGUGUAUGCAAAGCCUUGACCAAAGCAUCUCUUGUGAAAAGAUGCUGACGUUCACAUGCUCUCAAAGCAUAUGUGUACCGACACUUCAAAUCGGUAGCAAUUGUCUAACCGGAGCACAAGAACCUCAUAGGAUCUAUGUGUGCAUGCUUUGCCUUACUGUUUUUGUCUGAUUAAAGGAGAUGAAAGCUUCUAUAAAAACCAAUCCUGCAAGUGCAAUUGCAUUAUCCAGGAAUGAGGAGUUCCUGACAGCAACUUCCCUUAACACCCACAGUGCCGAGGUCAAGCACUGGAGCUCGAGUUCAACUCUAACCCCAAUUUUCUCUAUGUCUUUGCAGGCAGGUGGACUUAGGCAGUGCACAAACCAUUUAAAUAUUGCUCCAGAAUGAAAAUAGCUUACUUGACAGAUUGGAUCCAAUUUUAAGGUGCUGCCUUCAUUACAUUCCAGUGUAAUGUUCCAGCAUAUCUGCUCAUUG
rnacentral:lncRNA from 1 species